GGUGAACGCUGGCGGUAGGCCUAACACAUGCAAGUCGAACGGCAGCACAGGAGAGCUUGCUCUCUGGGUGGCGAGUGGCGGACGGGUGAGGAAUACAUCGGAAUCUACUUUUUCGUGGGGGAUAACGUAGGGAAACUUACGCUAAUACCGCAUACGACCUUCGGGUGAAAGCAGGGGACCUUCGGGCCUUGCGCGAUUAAAUGAGCCGAUGUCGGAUUAGCUAGUUGGCGGGGUAAAGGCCCACCAAGGCGACGAUCCGUAGCUGGUCUGAGAGGAUGAUCAGCCACACUGGAACUGAGACACGGUCCAGACUCCUACGGGAGGCAGCAGUGGGGAAUAUUGGACAAUGGGCGCAAGCCUGAUCCAGCCAUACCGCGUGGGUGACGAAGGCCUUCGGGUUGUAAAGCCCUUUUGUUGGGAAAGAAAAGCAGUCGGUUAAUACCCGAUUGUUCUGACGGUACCCAAAGAAUAAGCACCGGCUAACUUCGUGCCAGCCGCCGCGGUAACAC
rnacentral:rRNA from 1 species